rnacentral:lncRNA from 1 species
GCUCCUGCUCUCCUUGUUUCUUCAGGGCUUUUUGCAAGUGAACACAGUCCCCCAGACAGAUUUGGAAUACAAGCUGCAAGCUGUCUGUAUGCCUUGGUGAAUCUGCUGCUGUCCUGCUCUUUCCCUUUGCUCACAGUCAAUGAGCCUUGGCACACAGGGACAAGCUGUGGUCUCUGACUGCUUUGUUCUCUUUGACUUGAGGUGGACGUGUUGAUAUCUCACCUGGCAGCCUGCGAAGGCUUCCAGCAAAUGCCGGCUGAUGAAGAGCCCCAAGGUCGGCGGGAGGCACAGAUCUACACAGGCUCUUCCAUUCAAUCUGCUGCAGCAGCAGCAGCAGCAGCAUCUAAAGGAGCCUUUGUUGCCCAAGCUGAGCAGUGGAUCCGGUGCAGUUUGUCCAUGUCCAGCAGUGACACAUCUGCUGCUCAGCUCCAGGAGAGCCAGGGAGACUUCGUGGAGCAACUGAGGAGAAUGGUGAACAAGGAAAAUCCCAUCACAAAAUACAUUGAACUGGAAAGUCUUGGCAGCGGGGGUUUUGGAGAGGUUUCCAGAGCACUUGACAUUGCAACAGGAGGAGAGGUAAAUGUCAACAGCCCCUGCAGCCUCUGCUGCUCUCCAGGCCUUUCCCCACUGCUGACAGCUGUGGCUGGAGCUUUGAGUAGAGCUGUGCUGAAAAGGCACAAGAAGCACAGACUGGAGCCAGCCUGCAAAUUGCACUUGGAACAGGCUUUGUGGACAAGGCAAAUCGCCAGUGGCCACGUGUCCUGUAACUGACCCCCAAGGGAGCAGAGAAAUGGGCUGUUGCAAUGUCACUCCCUAAUUACUCCAGUGAUGAGGUCUAAUCACAAGGCACUUUGGCACAGCUUGGCUGUGCCAUUCCAAAAUCACUUGCUCCAUGUGUGUUGUGGUCUCAUGCUACCAAUUUUCUCAAAUUACUCCUUUUCAAUGUCAUUUGAGGUGGCCAUAAAGAAAAUAAAUGUGCAAGGAAUGAAUAGGAAGAUACUAAC